rnacentral:rRNA from 1 species
UACAGAGGUCCCGAGCGUUGUUCGGAUUCAUUGGGCGUAAAGGGUGCGUAGGCGGCGGGGCAAGUCUGAUGUGAAAUCCCGGGGCUCAACCCCGGAACUGGCAUUGGAUACUGCUUUGCUAGAGUACUGGAGAGGGAACUGGAAUUUACGGUGUAGCAGUGAAAUGCGUAGAGAUCGUAAGGAAGGCCAGUGGCGAAGGCGAGUUCCUGGACAGUGACUGACGCUGGAGGCACGAAGGCCAGGGGAGCAAACGGG